rnacentral:rRNA from 1 species
GACGAACGCUGGCGGCGUGCUUAACACAUGCAAGUCGAGCGGAAAGGCCCUUCGGGGUACUCGAGCGGCGAACGGGUGAGUAACACGUGAGUAACCUGCCCCAGACUUUGGGAUAACCCUCGGAAACGGGGGCUAAUACCGGAUACGACACAGCUUCGCAUGGGGUCUGUGUGGAAAGUUUUUCGGUUUGGGAUGGGCUCGCGGCCUAUCAGCUUGUUGGUGGGGUGAUGGCCUACCAAGGCGACGACGGGUAGCCGGCCUGAGAGGGCGACCGGCCACACUGGGACUGAGAGACGGCCCAGACUCCUACGGGGGGCAGCAGUGGGGAAUAUUGCACAAUGGGCGGAAGCCUGAUGCAGCGACGCCGCGUGAGGGAUGACGGCCUUCGGGUUGUAAACCUCUUUCAGCAGGGACGAAGCGUAAGUGACGGUACCUGCAGAAGAAGCGCCGGCCAACUACGUG